rnacentral:rRNA from 1 species
GAUUGUGUGAAUACAUAGCACAUUCGAGGUAGACGCAGAGAACUGAAACAUCUAAGUACCUGCAGGAAGAGAAAGAAAAUUCGAUUCCCUGAGUAGCGGCGAGCGAAACGGGAAAAGCCCAAACCAGCAAGCUUGCUUGUUGGGGUUGUAGGACUCCAAUAUGGUAGUUCUUUCAGAUAGUCGAAUGACUUGGAAAAGUCAGUCAAAGAGGGUAAAAACCCCGUAGACGAAAUGUGGAAGACACCUAGGAGGAUCCUGAGUACGGCGGAACACGAGAAAUUCCGUCGGAAUCCGGGAGGACCAUCUCCCAAGGCUAAAUACUCCCUAGUGACCGAUAGUGAACCAGUACCGUGAGGGAAAGGUGAAAAGCACCCCGGAAGGGGAGUGAAAUAGAACCUGAAACCGUGUGCCUACAACAAGUCAAAGCCCGUUAAUGGGUGAUGGCGUGCCUUUUGUAGAAUGAACCGGCGAGUUACGAUUGCAUGCGAGGUUAAGUUGAAGAGACGGAGCCGCAGCGAAAGCGAGUCUGAAUAGGGCGUUUGAGUAUGUAGUCGUAGACCCGAAACCAUGUGAUCUACCCAUGUCCAGGUUGAAGGUGCGGUAAAACGCACUGGAGGACCGAACCCACGUACGUUGAAAAGUGCGGGGAUGAGGUGUGGGUAGCGGAGAAAUUCCAAACGAACUUGGAGAUAGCUGGUUCUCUCCGAAAUAGCUUUAGGGCUAGCCUCGGAAUUGAGAAUGAUGGAGGUAGAGCACUGUUUGGACUAGGGGCCCAUCUCGGGUUACCGAAUUCAGAUAAACUCCGAAUGCCAUUCAUUCAUAUCCGGGAGUCAGACUGUGAGUGAUAAGAUCCAUAGUCGAAAGGGAAACAGCCCAGACCACCAGCUAAGGUCCCAAAAUAUAUGUUAAGUGGAAAAGGAUGUGGGGUUGCACAGACAACUAGG